rnacentral:rRNA from 1 species
GAUGAACGCUGGCGGCGUGCCUAAUACAUGCAAGUCGAGCGAACGGACGAGAAGCUUGCUUCUCUGAUGUUAGCGGCGGACGGGUGAGUAACACGUGGAUAACCUACCUAUAAGACUGGGAUAACUUCGGGAAACCGUAGCUAAUACCGGAUAAUAUUUUGAACCGCAUGGUUCAAAAGUGAAAGACGGUCUUGCUGUCACUUAUAGAUGGAUCCGCGCUGCAUUAGCUAGUUGGUAAGGUAACGGCUUACCAAGGCAACGAUGCAUAGCCGACCUGAGAGGGUGAUAGGCCACACUGGAACUGAGACACGGUCCAGACUCCUACGGGAGGCAGCAGUAGGGAAUCUUCCGCAAUGGGCGAAAGCCUGAAGGAGCAACGCCGCGUGAGUGAUGAAGGUCUUCGGAUCGUAAAACUCUGUUAUUAGGGAAGAACAUAUGUGUAAGUAACUGUGCACAUCUUGACGGUACCUAAUCAGAAAGCCACGGCUAACUACGUG